rnacentral:rRNA from 1 species
AGUGAACGCUGGCGGUAGGCCUAACACAUGCAAGUCGAACGGCAGCACAGUAAGAGCUUGCUCUUACGUGUGGCGAGUGUCGGACGGUUGAGUUAUACAUCGGAAUCUACUUUUUCGGGGGGGCUAACGUAGGGAAACUUAUGCUAAUACCGCAUACGACCUACGGGUGAAAGCAGGGGAUCUUCGGACCUUGCGCGAGUGAAUGAGCCGAUGUCGGAUUAGCUAGUUGGCGGGGUAAAGGCCCACCAAGGCGACGAUCCGUAGCUGAUCUGAGAGGACGAUCAGCCACACUGGAGAUGAGACACGCAGCAGAAUCCUACGUGAGGCAGCAGUGGGGAAUAUUGGACAAUGAGCGGAAGCCUGUACCAGACAUACCGCGUGAGUGAAGUAGACCUUCGCGGUGUAAAGCCCUUUUGUUGGGAAAGAAAAGCAGCAGGUUAACCCCGCGCUGUUCUGACGGUACCCAAAGAAUAAGCACCGGCUAACUUCGU